UACGGAGGGGGCUAGCGUUGUUCGGAAUUACUGGGCGUAAAGAGCUUGUAGGCGGUUUGUCGCGUCUGCUGUGAAAAUCCGGGGCUCAACCCCGGACUUGCAGUGGGUACGGGCAGACUAGAGUGUGGUAGGGGAGACUGGAAUUCCUGGUGUAGCGGUGAAAUGCGCAGAUAUCAGGAGGAACACCGGUGGCGAAGGCGGGUCUCUGGGCCGAUACUGACGCUGAGAAGCGAAAGCAUGGGGAGCGAACAGG
rnacentral:rRNA from 1 species